CCCGCAUCACGCUGGCGGUAUGCUUACACAUGCAAGUCGAACGGUCUCUUCGGAGAUAGUGGCGGACGGGUUAGUAACGCGUGAGAAUCUAGCUUCAGGUCGGGGACAACCCCUGGAAACGGUGGCUAAUACCGGAUGUGCCGAAAGGUGAAAGAUUUAUUGCCUGAAGAUGAGCUCGCGUCUGAUUAGCUAGUUGGUGUGGUAAGAGCGCACCAAGGCGACGAUCAGUAGCUGGUCUGAGAGGAUGAUCAGCCACACUGGGACUGAGACACGGCCCAGACUCCUACGGGAGGCAGCAGUGGGGAAUUUUCCGCAAUGGGCGAAAGCCUGACGGAGCAAUACCGCGUGAGGGAGGAAGGCUCUUGGGUUGUAAACCUCUUUUCUCAGGGAAUAAAAAAAUGAAGGUACCUGAGGAAUAAGCAUCGGCUAACUCCGUGCCAGCAGCCGCGGUAAUACGGAGGAUGCAAGCGUUAUCCGGAAUGAUUGGGCGUAAAGCGUCCGCAGGUGGCACUGUAAGUCUGCUGUUAAAGAGCAAGGCUCAACCUUGUAAAGGCAGUGGAAACUACAGAGCUAGAGUACGUUCGGGGCAGAGGGAAUUCCUGGUGUAGCGGUGAAAUGCGUAGAGAUCAGGAAGAACACCGGUGGCGAAAGCGCUCUGCUAGGCCGUAACUGACACUGAGGGACGAAAGCUAGGGGAGCGAAUGGGAUUAGAUACCCCAGUAGUCCUAGCCGUAAACGAUGGGAUACUAGGCGUGGCUUGUAUCGACCCGAGCCGUGCCGGAGCCAACGCGUUAAGUAUCCCGCCUGGGGAGUACGCACGGCAAGUGUGAAACUCAAAGGAAUUGACGGGGGCCCGCACAAGCCGGUGGAGUAUGUUGUUUUAUUUCGAUGCAACGCGAAGAACCUUACCAAGACUUGACUGGUCUCGAAUCUUCUUGAAAGGGAAGAGUGCUUUACGAUGG
rnacentral:rRNA from 1 species